GCGGAUGUAGCUCAGUUGGUUAGAGCGCUUGCCUGUCACGCAAGAGGUCGCGGGUUCAAGUCCCGUCAUUCGCGCCA
rnacentral:tRNA from 1 species